rnacentral:rRNA from 1 species
GAGCUUGCUCCACCGAAAGAAAAAGAGUGGCGAACGGGUGAGUAACACGUGGGUAACCUGCCCAUCAGAAGGGGAUAACACUUGGAAACAGGUGCUAAUACCGUAUAACACUAUUUUCCGCAUGGAAGAAAGUUGAAAGGCGCUUUUGCGUCACUGAUGGAUGGACCCGCGGUGCAUUAGCUAGUUGGUGAGGUAACGGCUCACCAAGGCAACGAUGCAUAGCCGACCUGAGAGGGUGAUCGGCCACACUGGGACUGAGACACGGCCCAGACUCCUACGGGAGGCAGCAGUAGGGAAUCUUCGGCAAUGGACGAAAGUCUGACCGAGCAACGCCGCGUGAGUGAAGAAGGUUUUCGGAUCGUAAAACUCUGUUGUUAGAGAAGAACAAGGAUGAGAGUAAAAUGUUCAUCCCUUGACGGUAUCUAACCAGAAAGCCACGGCUAACUACGUGCCAGCAGCCGCGGUAAUACGUAGGUGGCAAGCGUUGUCCGGAUUUAUUGGGCGUAAAGCGAGCGCAGGCGGUUUCUUAAGUCUGAUGUGAAAGCCCCCGGCUCAACCGGGGAGGGUCAUUGGAAACUGGGAGACUUGAGUGCAGAAGAGGAGAGUGGAAUUCCAUGUGUAGCGGUGAAAUGCGUAGAUAUAUGGAGGAACACCAGUGGCGAAGGCGGCUCUCUGGUCUGUAACUGACGCUGAGGCUCGAAAGCGUGGGGAGCGAACAGGAUUAGAUACCCUGGUAGUCCACGCCGUAAACGAUGAGUGCUAAGUGUUGGAGGGUUUCCGCCCUUCAGUGCUGCAGCAAACGCAUUAAGCACUCCGCCUGGGGAGUACGACCGCAAGGUUGAAACUCAAAGGAAUUGACGGGGGCCCGCACAAGCGGUGGAGCAUGUGGUUUAAUUCGAAGCAACGCGAAGAACCUUACCAGGUCUUGACAUCCUUUGACCACUCUAGAGAUAGAGCUUCCCCUUCGGGGGCAAAGUGACAGGUGGUGCAUGGUUGUCGUCAGCUCGUGUCGUGAGAUGUUGGGUUAA